UAACACAUGCAAGUCGAACGAAGUAGCAAUACUUAGUGGCAGACGGGUGAGUAACAUGUGGGUAUCUGCCCUUUGGCCUGGAAUAACACGAGGAAACUUGUGCUAAUACCGGAUAAGUCUUUACGGAGAAAGCUUUAUGCACCAUUGGAUGAGCCCGCACUUGAUUAGUUUGUUGGUGGGGUAAUGGCCUACCAAGACAAUGAUCAAUAGCCGAUUUGAGAGGAUGAUCAGCCACAUUGGGACUGAGACACGGCCCAAACUCCUACGGGAGGCAGCAGUGGGGAAUCUUGCACAAUGGAGGAAACUCUGAUGCAGCGAUGCCGCGUGAGUGAAGAAGGCCCUUGGGUUGUAAAGCUCUUUCGUCGGGGAAGAAAAUGACUGUACCCGAAUAAGAAGGUCCGGCUAACUUCGUGCCAGCAGCCGCGGUAAUACGAAGGGACCUAGCGUAGUUCGGAAUUACUGGGCUUAAAGAGUUCGUAGGUGGUUAAAAUAGUUGGUGGUGAAAUCCCAGAGCUUAACUCUGGAACUGCCAUCAAAACUUUUUAGCUAGAGUAUGAUAGAGGAAAGCAGAAUUUCUAGUGUAGAGGUGAAAUUCGUAGAUAUUAGAAAGAAUACCAAUUGCGAAGGCAGCUUUCUGGAUCAUUACUGACACUGAGGAACGAAAGCAUGGGUAGCGAAGAGGAUUAGAUACCCUCGUAGUCCAUGCCGUAAACGAUGUGUGUUAGACGUUGGAAAUUUAUUUUCAGUGUCGCAGCGAAAGCAAUAAACACACCGCCUGGGGAGUACGACCGCAAGGUUAAAACUCAAAUGAAUUGACGGGGACCCGCACAAGUAGUGGAGCAUGUGGUUUAAUUCGAAGAUACGCGCAGAACCUUACCAACACUUGACAUGUUCGUCGCGACUCUAAGAGAUUAGAGUUUUCGGUUCGGCCGGACGAAACACAGGUGCUGCAUGGCUGUCGUCAGCUCGUGUCGUGAGAUGUUGGGUUAAGUCCCGCAACGAGCGCAACCCUCACUUUUAGUUGCCAUCAUUAAGUUGGGCACUCUGAAAGAACUGCCAGUGAUAAGCUGGAGGAAGGUGGGGAUGACGCCAAGUCCUCAUGGCCCUUACGUGUUGGGCUACACACGUGCUACAAUGGUAUCUACAACAGGAAGCAAAAUGGCAACAUUAAGCAAAUCCCAAAAAGAUACCUCAGUUCGGAUUGCACUCUGCAACUCGAGUGCAUGAAGCUGGAAUUACUAGUAAUCGUGGAUCAGCGUGCCACGGUGAAUACGUUCCCGGGUCUUGUACACACCGCCCGUCACACCAUGGGAGUUGGUUCUACCUUAAGGCAAGGUUUAAUACCCUUGACCACGGUAUAGUCAGCGACUGGGGGUG
rnacentral:rRNA from 1 species